rnacentral:lncRNA from 1 species
GUGCAUGUGUGUUGUUUAUUUUGGAUGAGAUGAGAAGGAAAUCAUUGAAGGGGGAAAAUGCCACCACAGGUGAAGGAUUGGAUUGGGGAGUAUUGUUUGGUUUUGGACCAGGCUUGACCAUCGAGACCGUUGUGCUGCAUAGCAUACCUAUGAUUACAAAUUGAGUGAAGAAUGAUAAGAAAAUUUAUAUACAAGCCAUGUCUUAUUGUAUUAAGGAGGUGUUAAUGAAGAUAUAUACAUAUAUCUGCAAAGCUUGUAAUAAUCCUACAAUAAUUUAUUCCUAUCAUAAAAUUGAGGGAUUGUAAUUUAGUGAUCGUUGGAGAUUGUAGAGACCUCAAGUUAAAAAAGUGAGACUUCAAGUUCUUGUCAUUUUAUAUUCUUGAAGUUCCCUUGAAAUUUUUAAUUUUCUAUUCUCAUAAAUUCCAUUGAAAAGAAAGAAAGAAUUAUAUAUAUAACAUUGAUUUCAAUUUUGGUAAUGUAACUAAGAAAUUUUCACCUUAAUUUACUUUGCACUUGUUUGAAUUUUGAUUGAACACAAAUAUAAUUACAAAUUUUCUUAUAAUAAAUUAUAGUCACUCCUAAAUGUUUAUGCCAAAGCCUAGUACCCUAAAUUAUAGUUUAUGUGUAACAAUAGCAAGAAUACGGUGAAUAAAGGUAAAUCUCAUCAAUGGGGAAAAUGUCUCUACAUAAUCUAUUCAUUCUCUUUGGGUAUAACUUUUUUCCAUUAAGCGAGUGUGGACUCGUAUUUUUCACGUGUGCUCCGACUAGAUCGGCGAGACUUGCUUUUAUUGGUGAAGAACUUAGUUUUGGAAAAGUCGGAGUCACCACUUAUUUUAUUUUAUUUUAAAAGGGAAAAUAAAACAAGAAAGAAAACCCUAAAGAAGUGACUCCAUAGUUUUUUUUUUUGGAAACACGUGUCUUUGAAAAACCCGAGUCUUGGUUCGGGGAUCAGGUUACCUAUUGGGAAGGUACCUUUAAAAGGUAGCACCCCUCUAAGUCUUACAAAGGUCUCUACUGACUAAGUUGAGGGAAUUGGGGCAAUUAAUUGGUUGGUUGAGGCUACCUAGGUAGACUAAGGUGAUUUUUUUUUUUAAAUAGUAUGCUAAACAAGAAAACCAAUCACAAAUCAUAAAGAAGAUUUAGAGAGCGUACCUAGACUGCUUCUUAAGCGCUAUCACAAGACAUCAAAGUUAGUUCAAAUAAUAUAUCAUCCAGCAUGUGCUUUAUUAGAAAUAAUCAAACAAGGAAACAAUGUAUCAAGACACCCAAACACUAUCAAACAUAGGUGCGGUUCACAGUGACAAUCAUAUUCAUAGAAUUUAGAAGGUAGGUGAUAGGGGGUGUACCUGGAUAGCAUAGAUAACUCAUAACAUGCAUCCACGAGACAUGAGGGGGUUAAAUAAUAAAUAAUAAAAUAAAGAAAUCCUAGCAUGCUUGUUAUUUAAUUAGCAUAGCAAAAAUGAUCAAAGUAUACGAAAUCAUCAAUGAUCACAGUAUAAAGAAUCAUCAAUGAUCACAUACAUCUUGUAUAUAAUUCCUAAAAAAAUUGAUGAUUUUGAUUAUAGAAAGUAGCUAAAGUGGCAGGAAAUGUGAGUUUUGGAAAGAUUAUUUUAUGUAGGGGUCUCAUCAAGUCCCCAGUUAAUAUUCACAAAUUUAACCUGUGUAUUCCCAUUAGCUUGGGAACACAAGCUCAAACCUAUGUUGAGAAAAUAAAAUUUUGGAAACUGAGAAAAAGGAAUACAACUUGGAUAAAACUAAGUUGCAUAUUUUUUUAAAAAGAAAGUGAGAUCUUUGCACUAAAAUCCUAGAAUGGAUUUUUAUUAUUAUUUUAAAAAAAUUGUUAAAAGAUUUUAAUUCCUUUGAGAAUGAUUUUAGGAAAGCAAAAGGAACCAUGUGAUUUGAUAAAUCCAUAACACAGGACACAAAAUGAAGAUUUUUCUUUUUCUUUUCAUUUCUAAUUUAAAAGGGGUUUGAAAACAAAAUAAUAUCAACUUGGAUCCCCUUAUUGGCUACCUUUUCAUUUGGGAUCUAGGAGCCACAUCUUUGAUGGAGAAUAUUCAUUUUUUUUUGAAAGAAAAUAAGUUAUUUUGACAUAAUUCAAGAUGUCAAUUUAAAAGAGCUCUUUUCUUAAUAAAAAGGUUUGAGUUCAAGACUUAAAAGAGUUCAAUUAAAAAAUAACUAGAAUUGUCGACUUGAAAACAUGGAAAAAAUUUAACUAAAACCUAAAUCCUAAAAACUAAGUGGAUUCAAUCAAAGUAAAAAGUUAUCAAUUUAAAGACGUGACAAGAAUUUGACUAAAACUAAGAUUUUAAAAUAAAAAUAAAUAAAUAAACAAAUGAGGUCAAUCCAACUAAAAGAAACCACUAAGAGGAAACAUAGAUUUAACUAAAACAAAAAUUCUAACCAACUUAAUAAUUGCAAUGAUCAAUCAAACUCAGGAAUUAUCAAUUUAAAAAUAGGCAUGAAUUAAACUAUGACUACAAUAUAACUAGCAUAAUAACUAUAAGCCUUAAUAUUUAACUAAUUAUCAAUUUGGACAUACCACAUAAUUAUCUAAAACUAAAUUUUUUAACAAACUUAAUAAUUAGCCUAACUAGAGUUAUUAAUAAAGACAAGACAUGGCUAAAAAACAAACUCAUAAACAAAAUGAAAUCAACCAAGAGAAUUAAAAAGUGCAAUAUGAAGUUAAUGAUAUGGAAUCAAAUGAAUUAGCCAACCAAAAUUCUAAAGAUAUUAAGUACAUGGACUAUAGUGAAACUUAUAAAAACUAACACCGAGAUAUAAAAAAAAGAACUAACGAAGGACUAAUACACCCAACAAAUAUAAUUAUUAAGGAUACAAAUCAACAAAGGAAUCGUCAAAUUAAUACUAGAGAAAAAUAAGCAAUGAAGUAGUAGGAAAUCAAUGAGAACUAGGUAAUAAUAAAACCAAUAUCUCAAGACUUUUAAGCCACAAACUAACAAAAGGUAAAUGGAAACUAAUAACAUAAGAUUUGAAGAAGAUUAUUGAAGAAUCACGGAUCCUAAAAAUAGAUAAAUAUGAAAGAAUCAAGGUGAGAUUAAAAGGAUGACAAAGAACUAAAGAUUACAUUUUGCUGUUGCGUAUUUCUUUUAAAAAUUUGGUUGCUUUGAUUCAAAAAAAACUGGUGCCCUUUCAAUUAAAAAAUUUAGCGACAUUCUUACUCAAAAUACCUUCUAGUGCUCUCUCAUUUAAGAAAUUUGGCGUCAUUCUCACUUAACUGACGCUCUUUUAUUUAAAAAUCUGGUGGCUUUCUCAAAUAUUUUGGUGCUCUCUCAUUUAAAAAUCUUGUGGCUCUCUCACUUAAAGAAAAUUUUUUUCGUGCACUCUUAUUUAAAUAUUUGGUGGCUUUCUCAAAUAUUUUGGUGCUCUCUCAUUUAAAAAUCUUGUGGCUCUCUCACUUAAAGAAAUUUUUUUUGGUGCACUCUUAUUUAAAAAUCUGGUGGCUUUCUCAAAUAUUUUGGUGCUCUCUCAUUUAAAAAUAUGGUGGUUCUCUCACUUAAAGAAAAAAUUUUGGUGCACUCUUAUUUAAAAAUCUGGUGGCUUUCUCAAAUAUUUUGGAGCUCUCUCAUUUAAAAAUCUGGUGGCUAUCUCACUUAAAGAAAAAUUUUGGUACACUUUUAUUUAAAAAUCUGGUGGCUUUCUCAAAUAUUUUGGUGCUCUCUCAUUUAAAAAUCUAGUGGCUAUAAAUUUCAUUCUACACCAGCCCUGAUUUUAAAGCAAUAUCAAUCCACAUUUUUUUUUAUUUCACAACAGUUUGACAACAACCCAUAUUUCAUGUAUAAAUCAUCUUAUAUUCGAUCAAAGAUACGACCCAAAAUUUAAAUAAUAACCAACCUUGAUUCUAAGCUAAUCCAACUUGAAAAUCUUACCCAAUAUCAACCUAAAUGCUUGGCUAAAUAAAAUUCAGACAUGUCUCAAAAUGCAAUGCAGAAUUUUGGUCAAGUUCAAUCAAGUUCUCCAAACAAACAAAGCUUGGAAUUAGAUAUUAUGAAAUGUUAACACUAUUAAUCAAGAAUUCUUAAAUCUAAAAUAUUAUCACACAACUGAAGGAAUAUAAAAAAUUUGUAAAAAGUAAAUAAAUAUAAUCCAUCAAAGUUCUAAAAAAAAAAAAAAAUCAAAACUUAAAAUUGAAAAUAAAUAACAAACUAAUGUGUUCAAAAUUUACCUUUGGUAGAGGAAGAGAAAAUGUUGUUGUUUGGCUGUUGGUGAAAAAAAGUUGUUGAUAGUGAGUGUUCCUUCAAAAUUUUUCUAGUGUGUACAAUGUACAAAAAAAAUACAUCCUCUUUUUCUAUCUCCUUUGAUGGUACGACUCUUUGAUGCAGUAGUGCUUCCCAAAGCUUUUCUGGUGCGGUCCAUCUCUCUCUUCUCUCCCAAUCGAUCUCUCUUAUUUCUCAAUCAAUCUCUCUCACCCUCAAUGGCGUGACUGCCAAUCCUCACGUUCCAGAAUGGUAUGCCAAUCCUCAUCUUCUCCCAACAAGCCAAGCUUUUCAGGUCCCCCUCUUUGCUUCAGAAUGGUGCGGCUGCACCUUUUCUUUUCAUUUUUCUGCUGCAAAUUGUGCUCCAUUUCUUGAAAAACCAAACUUUGAAAGCCCUAUCCACAUGCUGACAUUUUUUUCUCAAUGGUGUGGCUGCACCUCAUUUUCUCUAAGGUGCGACUGCACCUCCACUUCCCGUUUUUUCCACUCCCCAUCGUGCCCCCUCUUCUACUCCCCCUCUCAUUCCUUCCAUUCUCACUUUCCUUUAUUUUCUUUCCCUCUUCUUCUCUGGUAAUGCAUCUUGAAUUAUUUUCCUUAGACACCACCUCAAUCUUUCCAUACUCAUGAUGAAUUUUCCUUCUUAAACCUAGCCCCAUUUCGUCCAUAUGCAUGUUGAAUUUUCCUCAUAGAUGCAAUCUAUUCAUUCCAAUUCAUAUGAAUCUUUCUUUUCAACGCAAUCCUAUUCAUUCCAAAUUCAUAUUCAAUCUUCCACAUAAGUGCGACCCCUUUUAUUUAAUUUGAAUCUUCCUCAUAAAUGCAACCCCUUUCAUUCUAUAUUCAUUUUGAAUUUUCCUUAAAAAAAAUGGUCUUCUCUUUCUUCAAAUUUUCUUCCCUUUAGUAAAUGAUUUAUUCUCUAAUUAGUCUUUCAAACUUCCCUUCCCCAUUGACCUUUCAUUUGGUAAGUCUUACUCUCUCUCUUGCAGCCCCUUUCAUAAUUGAAUUAAAUAUCUAAGCAUAGGCUAAAUGUUGUAUGGUAUUUUUCGAAGCAUGAGAAGAGUCCUUAAUGGUAAGAUUCAAUCGGCCACCCUUUCCUUUUCAUUGAUAAAUUUCCUUACAAAAGCACAAAAUUAUUAUAUUAAAUAAAUGAAUAAAAGAGGUAUUUUAGAAAAUGAUAGAAUAAAAUAAAUAAAUAAAUAAAUAAAAAUGAAAAAAAUUAUAAUAUAAGUAAAUAAUCAUAAAAAAAAGUGUCGCUCAAGCCAUGCAAAAANNNNNNNNNNNNNNNNNNNNNNNNNNNNNNNNNNNNNNNNNNNNNNNNNNNNNNNNNNNNNNNNNNNNNNNNNNNNNNNNNNNNNNNNNNNNNNNNNNNNGUAAAUAAUCAUAAAAAAAAGUGUCGCUCAAGCCAUGCAAAAAUGUGAGCCAUGCAAUCAUGCAUGCCAUGCAACCUAUGCAAAGAUUACUUAAACCUAGGUGGGCUAAGGAGUGCUUAGGUGGAUCAAGUGUGGCUAAGAUGGGCUAGAUGUGCUUAUGUGGGCCAAGUGUGCUUAGAUGGGCCAUGGUAUCCUUUGAUGGGCCUAGGGUGCCUAAGUGGGCCUAAGGUGGUGCCUAAUGGGCCAAGUGUACUUAAGUGGGCCUAAGUGCACUAAGCCCAAUGAAGUGUCUAAGUGGGCCUAAGGUUGUGUGUAAUGGGCCAAGAGUGCCUAAGUGGGCCUAAGGUGGUACCUAAUGGGCUAAGUGUACCCAAAGGGGCCUAGAGUGCCUAAGUGGGCCUGAGGUGGUGCCUAAUGGACCAAAUGUACCUAAAUGGGCCUAGGAGGCCUAAGUGGGCCUAAGGUGGUGCCUAAUGGGCCAUGUGCAUCGAAAUGGGCAUAAGGUGCCUAAUGAGCCUAAAGUGGUGCCUAAUGGGUCAUGUGUAUCUAAAUGGGCAUAAGGUGCCUAAUGGGCUUAAAGUGGUGCCUAAUGAGCCAUGUGUAUCUAAAUAGGCCUAGGGUGCCUAAGUGGGCCUAAGGCGGUGCCUAAUGGGCCAUGUGUAUCUAAAUAGGCCUAAGGUGUCUAAGUGAGCCUAAGGUGGUGCCUAAUGGAUCAUGUGUAUCUAAAUGGGCCUAAGGUGCCUAAGUGGGCCUAAAGUGGUGCCUAAUGGGCCAUGUGUAUCUAAAUGGGCCUAGAGGGCCUAAGUGAGCCUAAGUCUAAAUUAAGGCUGCCAAGAGUCACAAUGGAGUUAGAUAAAUCCCUCAACCAAAGUCCCCAAGGUGGCUUAGAGAAAUAUAGACUACACGAGUAGUAAUAGGUCACUAGGGAAUUGCUGUAAAGUACGGAACAAAUACCUAAUAGGACAUGUGCUAGGAGGACAAAAUGGAGGGUCUACAACGAGCCUUUAAUUUUUCAAUUGAACCAUUUGAUUUAUGUUUUAUUUUUAUGAUCCAAUUAUUUACUGUAAUCUUAUGCCUAAGCAGAAUAUCAAUCAACUCUCAAACAUGGUUCCUUACCAUGGAACUCAUUUAUUCCCUUAUAAUUUCUAACCAAUCUACUGAUUUUGGUGAAAUCAAUGCUUUCUUGUAAGAAGUAGGUUCAUUAAUGUCUAAUAGAGCACAAUGUAUCAUUCUUCUACAUUUUAAAGGCAACAAUUAGGAAUGUGACAAUAUUUUAUUCGAUGUCACUUGAGACCUUGUGAAGAUCAUUUUUAUGGUACAUUCCCACUAGAUGGCAAGUCACUCCCAUUAUCUUUGGUGACUUUACGUGGCCAUAUUGGUUUCUAUGUAACUCGAGACCUUGUGAAGAGCCUUUUCAUGGUUCAUUCCUACUAGAUGGCAAAUCACUCUUACUAUAUUUGGUGACUUUAGGAUAGGUUUGUAAUUCCUUAUCAUUACUUAAAGAUUAUGUUGUUUCCUCUUGCAACUCAUGGGUUUCAAGAUUCUUCUUUAUUUCACCAAUAUUGGGAAAACUGCUUUCCAUAAAUCAAUAUCAUCUGAAUAUUUUAAUCAAUCCUUCAUUAGGACAUUUUCUGUAUAUCACAUAACCUUUUAAGAAGUUAGAAUAUUUUAUAAGGACAUUCUUAAUUGCUCUAAGGCCUAACCUCUCAUAUUUAUGAGAAAUGUUAUGAACAUAACUUGUGUAACCCUAAGGUUGCAAAUCUUCUAGAUUUGGUUUUGCGUCAUUCCAGGGCUUAUAUGGAGUAGUGACUAACUUAGAAGGUGCUCGAUUGAAGAUGUCGGUAGUAAUUACAAGAGCAUCCACCUUGAAAAAGAUAUUAGGAGGUUAGCAUAUGGCAUCAUUGACCUAACCAUGUCUAAUAAAGUAUGAAUAUAUAUAUAUAUAUAUAUAUAUAUAUAUAUAUAUAUAUAUAUAUAUAUAUUAUUUUUUUUAAUUUUGUGCUGUACCAUUUUAUUGCGAAGUGCCAAGAAUUGUCAACUUCUUGUGUAUACCUUUCUCCUCACAUAGUUUAUGAAACUAAUGUGACAAGUAUUUAUGACCUCUAUUAGUUUGAAAAAUAUUCAUUUUUUUUGUUAUUCUCAAUUUCUACCAUAAAGCGCUUGAAGUAAUCUAAUGUUUUAAAGUAAUAUGAGAUAAGAUAUGCAAAAUUAAAACAUGAGUAAUUAUUAUAGAUUGUGAAGAAAAAAAUAAGAGGCACCAUGAUGUACCUUCACAUUCAUAGGUCUACAAAUGUCUAUAUGGACCAACUUCAAAGGGUAUGAGACCCUAGGUGCCUUUCUAAAAGGCUUCCUAUAGGCUUUGCUAGCUAGACAAGUCUCUUACAUGGGUAGGCUAACAUUGGUGAGAUACAUUAGAAGGCCUUUUCUAACUACAUAUAUCUUAAUCUAGCAUGCCACUUCAUAGAAUUAGUGGUAUUAUCACAAGCCAUAUAAGAAGAGGCAAAAUCUAAAUUCAACAUAAAAUGGAAUUAUCACAAGCCAUAAUAAAAUUAACGUUGCCAAAUAGAGCCUUAUUUAAAUGGAAUUCAACAUUUGACCAAACAAAAUGAAACAUGAAACUCAGUUCAAGUAGGGCUGUAACUGAAAGCAAAUUACAUUGGAUAUCAAGUGCAUAUAAUACAUCAUCAUAGAGAAGUAGUGUGCACCUCAAACACUAUUUAAGUUGUUAUAUGCCAACUCUUAAAACAUCCUCCUUUGUUUUGUUACCUAGGGUAACAUACUAUCGGCUUAUUAAUAUUGUUUUGUAAUCCACAAAUCUCACUUGAUCUUUUACUACAUUUUUUGUUGCUCUUGAGUGUAUAAUCAACCCAAGAAGAGAAUGAACAACUAAUACAUAUGUAUGAACAUAUGAAAAGAAAGAGUUAGGAUUAAAGUAUACCUUCUUUGGCUCAAUCUACUCACAAGCAAAGUGACCCAAUUUUGCAUAGUUGUAGCAUUUCAUUUUAGCCUUCUUAUUCUCAUCAUGCUUACCUCUCUGAAAAUUUUUUAUUACCUUUCUUUGGACCUAAAUUACCUGUACUACCAUAUUUUCCUUGUCUAUUAUGCUUACACUUGUUAGCUUUUCUUUGUCCCACAUAAACAACAAGUGUGGUGUGUUGCACCCCCUUAGGUGCAUUACUUAUAACUCAAUUAGGUAAGAAAUAUCAGUAAAGGUUUUGAUAUUCUUAUUGUGCGUGAGCACAAGUUUUAUUUAGCCCCAUAAUUUGGGCAAAGAGCAAAAUACUAUUAUGAUAUUUUGCUCAUUAGUUAUGUUAUUAUCGUCAACUUUAAAGUCACAAAUUAGGGUUGAAGUUAAUCUCAAAUGCUUAGCCAUCAUGUGUUUGGCAUCUGUGACAUAUUUUGCUUGAACUUCAAAGUGACUUCACGUAACCUAGUUGCAAUUGUCAAGCCAUACGCAAUUUUGAGCUUAUUCCAUAUUUUCUGAGAAGUGAGGUAGUGCUCGAACAUCCUUAUGAAGUCAUUGUGCAUACUAAUAAACAAGGUAAAGCCUGCACAAUGAUAUUUCUUAACCUAGAAUUGAUAAGCUUUCAUAUCACAAUGUUAUUAGAUUGAAUUUCCUUUUCUCGAGUUGGAUCAUGGCAUCAAGUCAAGGGAUUUAAGACCUCUUGUUCAUUUAAAAAUUAUUAUAUUUUUUGUGCUACAUAUCAUAAUUAUUGUUAUUUAAUUUGUCUCUUUAAGUCAAGUCAACAACAACAUUCUUGGUGGUCAUUUCACUACAUUUAUUGCAUAGAGUAUGAUAUUAACAUAUAUUUCUUAAUUUCAAAUGCAUUGAUGUUAAAUACCAUUACACAUUCAAGGCAUGGUUGGCUAAAUGAGGUGAUUGUGGAAUGCAUUUGUAUGAGUCAUAGGGUUGCAAAUCCUAUGACUAAGCCAAUAGCUCGAGAUGUUUAUCAAGCUCAUAUUAGGAGUUUAAGACUCCAUGGACUGUGAUUUGUUUUUUAUUUACUAAUUGACUAUGGCAUUAGAUCUUUAUUAUUCAGGAUAUUGUUAUUUAUGAUACACAUAUUUCAUUGUCUAUGUUUAAUUGUUGCAUGAUAGAUUUUGGCACACACAUAGUAAGGUAUAUCAAUAGGUAUAUAUAGAUUCACUCACUUGACGGCCUCCUUUAGCGCUCUUGGAAACUGAGCUAAGAUGAAACAUGUUGAGCUUGAGAUGCUAGAAUAGCGGGCUAAGCCAAAUCUAUUUGAGUGUUGUCUUGGAGGGAACCAAGAUGAGGUUUUUUUUUUUUUUUCCCUCUUCCAGAUAGAGUAUAGAAAAAUGUUUAGAUCUCACUAUCCAUACAUAACCUAUAGAAUGGUUGGAUACAAAACCUUAAUAUGCAUGGCACUAGGAUUAGCAAAUUUAUGGAGAUUCGGGUUAGACACCUAGUAGUGACUGGACUAAGAUCCGUAUAGAGUUUUUGAGGAGAGAUAGCUGCUCUUUAAAGAACAUUCCACUAUAACAUGUAUUCCAUACUACAUGUGCUUGGCAGCUAAGAUAAGGAAGUUGAAAAAUGAAUUCUUGCUUCUUCAUUGUAUGAGUCCUUAUAGAUCAUUAUACUUUAGAUGAUUCUAUAUUUUGCUGUGCUCUUUGUGACUUUUGACUUUUCCAUGAAAUGGAGCUAUAAUGUAUGUUACUCUAGCAUAUUUUCUAUGGUCAUGUUUAGAAAACAUUUAGACAAAAAAGAAUAAAAAAUGGUAUGAGGGCGAUAGGAAAACUAUUUAAUAACAUAUCCAUGUUUUAUGUUCAUUGUUGACAAGUUAUUUAGUGCUUAGGUGCUACAUAUUUAACUAUGAACAUAAAUACUAGAUAGAGGGGCUUCUAGCAAGGCUAUGAGAUAUCACUUAAAGGGAUUUGAGAUGCUAAAAAUGAGACGUGACCAAAUGAAUUUGGUGCAUAAUGAGAGAUAGAAUGCUCUAGGAUGGUCUAGAUAAGAUUUGGUAUAUUGCUCGCAAAUUUCUUUUAUAGGUGGCUAGACCAUCGUGUAACUCAUUAAUAAAUAUGUAUGGAAUAGUUAAUAAGAUGUUGAGAGAUGUUUGAGCCUAUUAUGUGUGAAUACGAGAUGUUGGAUUAUUUAUUAUUUUGGGUGUUAUGGGUAGACUAACAGGGGUAUCCUUAGUGGGCUGGACCAAUUAAGGGAUAAGUGGUACACGAGGAAUCUAUUACCAUCUAAUCCUAAUCCUAACCAAAUAAAGAGUUGGAAAAGUUUUUUAGGAUCUCUCUUCUAUAAAUACCUUCUCCUCUCCCUCUUAAUCACAAGAUGGGAGAAUAAUUUCAAAGAAUAGUUCUUGACCUGCGGAUUUCUGUAGGUGAUUCCCGAGUAAAUCAUCUUCAGGUAUGUACCAAAACACCUCCGAAAAUUUAGAUGUAUUUGGGCAUAUAAAAGAAAUAAUUAUAUACGUAAAACUAUUUUUUUUAAAAUAUUAAUAAUUUUAUUUACUACUUUAUAUUUGUCUUGUAAUUAAUUAUUAUAAAAAUCAUAUGAAAAUCCACCCAUUGUCAUUUCACAUGUGAUGUGUGCACACAAAAAUGAGAGAAGAAUGACAAAAUUGGGAUAAAAUUAUGAAAUAUCGUUGGAAUAUCUUGAAUUUUUUUUUUUGGGAAAAUAUAAAAAAAAAAAAAUCAGGCAAUUCUCAUUUAUUCCGUCCAGAUGGUAACAUUUUUGUUCUUUCAUUAAUCAAACGUAUAAUUAUAUAUCAAUAUAAAGUUUAAAGUUUCGAUUAACUGAAAAUUUUCAAAAAAUAUUUUUAAUUUUACUAGGAGGAAAUUAUUGCUUAAAGUUGAUGAAACUUACUAGACAAGUGAAGUCAAUUAUGGAAGCUCAUUUGUUAAUAAAACCUUUCCCUGAUGAAUCCCCUCCCAAUACUCCCCACUUGUGCUUGGAAAGACACCUUCAACCACUUUAAAAAUUGAAAAAAGUAUAGAUAAUUUAAAAAUUCUGAAGAAAAAAAAAACGUUUGAGAAUCAAUAGGUUAAAUAAAAAUGAGAUAUUUGUUGAAUUACUUUUUGAAUAUUAAAGUUAAAUGACAUGUGAUGUAAUCCUGAAGAAGGAUCGAAAAUAGUGUAUUGGUUAUUGGGUUGUUGAGGUUAUGACUUCAAAUUUAGAAAUCCAACUGUGAAUGACCUUUUCACGAGCAAUGAAGAAAGUUGGUAGCAGCUUCCCACACAUGGAAAACUAAAAUAAACAAUCAGCGGAAAAGUCUUCCUCUGGGUAGUUGAAGAACAGGGAAGAAAGAGACAGCACAAAUACAUUAACACAUGUCCGAAAAUGAACCCCACCAAAAAAUAAACUCAAGCACACAAACUUUGAAGCCAACUGAUCAGUGACAGUCAAUGGAUAAGAGUUGGUGAGACACAGGUUAUAAAAGCCCAACACUCACAUCCAUCUUUCUCAAGCCAGCUCCAAGCAUUCUUCUCUUUCCUCCCUCGACUUAAUCUUGAGCUUCAAUUUGAGUACGUAGCUGGCAUCAAUGGCUUCAGUUGAGGAAAUUAGAAACGCUCAACGUGCCAAGGGUCCGGCCACCAUCCUAGCCAUUGGCACAGCUACUCCCGACCACUGUGUCCACCAGUCUGAUUAUGCUGAUUACUAUUUCAGGGUCACUAAGAGCGAGCACAUGACUGAGUUGAAGAAGAAGUUCAAUCGUAUAUGUAAGUAUAUUCAUGCAUUAAUUCUUAUAUACAUAACACAUCUAUACAUAUAAGAGUGUGUGCUAUUAGGUGAGACUCACCUCCGAGUGAAUGGAUGUUUCAAGCUUUCUAGAGUAUAGCUUUUAGAUAAAUUACUUUAGGAAACUUGAAAAUAAUUUUACUUCAAUAACCAAUAUUCCUUGCAUCUGACUGUAAUGGCUUGAAGCGCUGUUCUUUGAACAUGUAGCAUUGCUCGCUAUAAUUAAGAAUACCCACUUAUACUUGCUUCAAUGUUAAAUGCAUGUUGAUUAUCUUGAACAAUAUACUAUAUGACUUGUCAAUUGGUAAAACUAAUGUGUUCAUGUUACUUCUUUUAUAGGUGACAAAUCAAUGAUAAAAAAACGUUACAUUCAUUUGACUGAAGAAAUGCUUGAGGAUCAUCCAAACAUUGGUGCUUAUAUGGCUCCAUCUCUUAACAUACGCUAAGAGAUUAUCACAGCUGAGGUACCUAAGGUUGGUAAGGAAGCAGCAUUGAAGGCACUUAAAGAGUGGGGCCAGCCAAAGUCCAAGAUCACCCACCUUGUAUUUUGUACAACUUCAGGUGUAGAAAUGCCUGGUGCUGAUUAUAAACUUGCUAAUCUCUUGGGUCUUGAAACUUCAGUUAGAAGAGUUAUGUUGUACCAUCAAGGGUGCUAUGCAGGUGGAACUGUCCUUCGAACCGCUAAAGAUCUUGCAGAGAAUAAUGCAGGAGCACGAGUCCUUGUGGUGUGCUCUAAGAUCACUGUUGUUACAUUCCGAGGACCUUCCAAAGAUUCUUUGGAUUCUUUAGUUGGUCAAGCCCUUUUUGGUGAUGGGUUUGCAGCUGUGAUUGUUAGAUCAGAUUCAGAUGUCUCGAUUGAACGACCCUUCUUCUAGCUAGUUUCAGCAGCCCAAACGUUUAUUCCUAAUUCAGCAGGUGCCAUUGCGGGCAACUUACGUGAGGUGGGACUUACCUUUCAUUUAUGGCCUAAUGUGCUGACUUUGAUUUCCGAGAACAUAGAGAAAUGCUUGACUCAAGCUUUUGAUCCACUUGGUAUUAGCGAUUGGAACUCGUUAUUUUGGAUUGCCCAUCCAGGUGGCCCUGCAAUUCUUGAUGCAGUUGAAGCAAAACUCAAUUUAGAUAAAAAGAAACUUGAAGCAACAAGACAUGUGUUGAGUGAGUACGGUAACAUGUCAAGUGCAUGUGUGUUGUUUAUUUUGGAUGAGAUGAGGAGGAAAUCAUUGAAGGGGAAAAAGGCCACCACAGGUGAAGGAUUGGAUUGGGGAGUAUUGUUCGGUUUUGACCAGGCUUGACCAUCGAGACCGUUGUACUGCAUAGCAUACCUAUGGCUACAAAUUGAGUAAAGAACGAUAAGAAAAGUUAUAUACAAGCCAUGUCUUAUUGUAUUAAGGAGGUGUUAAUGAAGAUAUAUACAUAUAUUUGCAAAGUUAGUAAUAAUUUGAUUUUUUUAUUAUUUCUAUUUUAAAUGAGGAGAUUGUAAUUUAGUGAUCGUUGAAAGGUGUAGUGACCUGAAGUUAAAAGGAUGAGACAUCAAGUUCUUAUUGUUUUAUAUUCUUGAAGUUUCCUCGAAAGUUAUAGUUUUCUUUUGUCAUAAAUACCAUUGAAAAAAGAAAACCAAAAGAAUUAGAUAUAUAGCACCAAUUUUAAAUUUUGGUAAUGUAGCCAAGAAGUUUUCAACUUAAUUUACUUUCCUCUUGUUUGAAUUCUGAUUGAACACAAAUAUAGUUGAAAGUUUGCUUGUAAUCAAUUUUGGCCUCUCUCAAAUGUGUAUGCCAAAGCCUAGUAUCCUAAACUACAUGGAAUUUGUUAUGUUGGGUCUAAAUGUGCAACAAUAGCUAGAAUAAGGUGAAUAAAGGUAAAUGUAAGGGAGAAUGUCUCUUCAUAAUCUAUAUACUCUUUCUUUUGGUAUAUCCUUUGGCC